AUUGAACGCUGGCGGCAGGCCUAACACAUGCAAGUCGAGCGUGCGGCGGACGGGUGAGUACUGUUUGGUGACUGCCCGAUAGCUAGGGAUCACUACUGGAAACGGUAGCUAAUACCGCAUACUAUCGGAUACCCCAUAUGGGAUUAGCUAGUAGGUGAGGUAAUGGCUCACCUGGGCGACGAUCCCUAGCGGAACUGAGAGGAUGAUCAGCCACAUGGGGACUGAGACACGGCCCAGACUCCUACGGAGGCAGCAGUGGGGAAUAGUGGGCAAUGGGCGCAAGCCUGAUGCAGCAAUGCCGCGGGUGUGAAGAAGGCCCUAGGAUUGUAAAGUACUUUCAGUAGGGAGGCGUUACCGAAAGAGGAAGCCACGGCUAACUACGUGCCAGCAGCCGCGGUAAUUC
rnacentral:rRNA from 1 species